GACGAACGCUGGCGGCGUGCUUAACACAUGCAAGUCGAACGGUAAGGCCCUUCGGGGUACACGAGUGGCGAACGGGUGAGUAACACGUGGGUGAUCUGCCCUGCACUUCGGGAUAAGCCUGGAAACUGGGUCUAAUACCGGAUAGGACCACUGCCUGCAUGGGUGGUGGUGGAAAGCUUUUGCGGUGUGGGAUGGGCCCGCGGCCUAUCAGCUUGUUGGUGGGGUGAUGGCCUACCAAGGCGACGACGGGUAGCCGGCCUGAGAGGGUGACCGGCCACACUGGGAGUGAGAUACGUCCCAGACUCCUACGGGAGGCAGCAGUGGGGAAUAUUGCACGAUGGGCGCAAGCCUGAUGCAGCGACGCCGCGUGAGGGAUGACGGCCUUAGGGUUGUAAACCUCUUUCAGCACCGACGAAGCGCAAGUGACGGUAGGUGCAGAAGAAGGACCGGCCAACUACGUGCCAGCCGCCGCCGUAA
rnacentral:rRNA from 1 species